rnacentral:rRNA from 1 species
UAAGGAAUAUUGGUCAAUGGACGCAAGUCUGAACCAGCCAUGCCGCGUGAAGGAUGAAGGUCCUCUGGAUUGUAAACUUCUUUUAUCUGGGACCAAAACGGGAUUUUUAUCUCAAUUGACGGUACCAGAGGAAUAAGCACCGGCUAACUCCGUGCCAGCAGCCGCGGUAAUACGGAGGGUGCGAGCGUUAUCCGGAUUUACUGGGCUUAAAGGGUGCGUAGGUGGGCUUAUAAGUCAGUGGUGAAAUCUCCGAGCUUAACUUGGAAACUGCCGUUGAUACUAUAGGUCUUGAAUUAUCUGGAGGUAAGCGGAAUAUGUCAUGUAGCGGUGAAAUGCUUAGAUAUGACAUAGAACACCAAUUGCGAAGGCAGCUUACUACAUAUAAAUUGACGCUGAGGCACGAAAGCGUGGGGAUCAAACA